rnacentral:tRNA from 1 species
GCCUGGGUGGCUCAGUCGGUUAAGCAUCCGACUUCGGCUCAGGUCAUGAUCUCACAGUCUGUGAGUUCGAGCCCCGCCUCGGGCU